rnacentral:rRNA from 1 species
CCUACGGGUGGCAGCAGUGGGGGAUAUUGCACAAUGGGGGAAACCCUGAUGCAGCGACGCCGCGUGGGCGAAGAAGUAUUUCGGUAUGUAAAGCCCUAUCAGCAGGGAAGAAGAAAUGACGGUACCUGAGUAAGAAGCACCGGCUAAAUACGUGCCAGCAGCCGCGGUAAUACGUAUGGUGCAAGCGUUAUCCGGAUUUACUGGGUGUAAAGGGAGCGUAGACGGCAGCGCAAGUCCGAAGUGAAAGCCCGGGGCCCAACCCCGGGACUGCUUUGGAAACUGUGAAGCUGGAGUGCGGGAGGGGCAGGCGGAAUUGCUGGUGUAGCGGUGAAAUGCGUAGAUAUCAGGAGGAACACCGGCGGCGAAGGCGGCCUGCUGGACCGUAACUGACGUUGAGGCUCGAAAGCGUGGGGAGCAAACAGGAUUAGAUACCCCGGUAGUC